rnacentral:rRNA from 1 species
GCGUACGCUGGCGGCAGGCCUAACACAUGCAAGUCGAGCGCCCGGGCAACCGGGAGCGGCAGACGGGAGAGUAACACGUCGGAACGUACCCUUCAGUUCGGAACAACCCAGGGAAACUUGGGCUAAUACCGAAUACGUCCGUAAGGAGAAAGAUUUAUCGCUGAAGGAUCGGCCCGCGUCUGAUUAGCUAGUUGGUGAGGUAACGGCUCACCAAGGCGACGAUCAGUAGCUGGUCUGAGAGGAUGAUCAGCCUCAUUGGGACUGAGACACGGCCCAGACUCCUACGGGAGGCAGCAGUGAGGAAUAUUGGACAAUGGGCGCAAGCCUGAUCCAGCCAUGCCGCGUGGGUGAUGAAGGCCCUAGGUGUGUAAAGCCCUUUCGGCUGUGAAGAUAAUGACGGUAGCCGCAGAAGAAGCCCCGGCUAACUUCGU